AGGGUUUGAUCAUGGCUCAGGAUAAACGCUGGCGGCGUGCCUAAUACAUGCAAGUCGAGCGAGGUAUUCAGCAAUGGAUACCGAGCGGCGAACGGGUGAGUAACACGUUGGGAACCUACCCCCCUGAUCGGAAUACCCAAGGGAAACUUUGGUUAAUGCCGAAUACGUGGUUCUGGGAUAACCUGGAGUCAUAAAAGGCGGCCUUAAAGCCGCGCAGAGGGAUGGACCUGCGGCGCAUUAGCUAGUAGGUGAGAUAAUAGCCCACCUAGGCGAGGAUGCGUAGCCGACCUGAGAGGGUGAACGGCCACACUGGAACUGAGACACGGUCCAG
rnacentral:rRNA from 1 species